rnacentral:rRNA from 1 species
GGGUUGUGAGGUUAAGCGACUAAGCGUACACGGUGGAUGCCCUGGCAGUCAGAGGCGAUGAAGGACGUGCUAAUCUGCGAUAAGCGUCGGUAAGGUGAUAUGAACCGUUAUAACCGGCGAUUUCCGAAUGGGGAAACCCAGUGUGUUUCGACACACUAUCAUUAACUGAAUCCAUAGGUUAAUGAGGCGAACCGGGGGAACUGAAACAUCUAAGUACCCCGAGGAAAAGAAAUCAACCGAGAUUCCCCCAGUAGCGGCGAGCGAACGGGGAGGAGCCCAGAGUCUGAAUCAGUGUGUGUGUUAGUGGAAGCGUCUGGAAAGGCGUGCGAUACAGGGUGACAGCCCCGUACACAAAAAUGCACAUAUUGUGAGCUCGAUGAGUAGGGCGGGACACGUGGUAUCCUGUCUGAAUAUGGGGGGACCAUCCUCCAAGGCUAAAUACUCCUGACUGACCGAUAGUGAACCAGUACCGUGAGGGAAAGGCGAAAAGAACCCCGGCGAGGGGAGUGAAAAAGAACCUGAAACCGUGUACGUACAAGCAGUGGGAGCCUCUUAAUGGGGUGACUGCGUACCUUUUGUAUAAUGGGUCAGCGACUUAUAUUCUGUAGCAAGGUUAACCGAAUAGGGGAGCCGAAGGGAAACCGAGUCUUAACUGGGCGUUAAGUUGCAGGGUAUAGACCCGAAACCCGGUGAUCUAGCCAUGGGCAGGUUGAAGGUUGGGUAACACUAACUGGAGGACCGAACCGACUAAUGUUGAAAAAUUAGCGGAUGACUUGUGGCUGGGGGUGAAAGGCCAAUCAAACCGGGAGAUAGCUGGUUCUCCCCGAAAGCUAUUUAGGUAGCGCCUCGUGAAUUCAUCUCCGGGGGUAGAGCACUGUUUCGGCAAGGGGGUCAUCCCGACUUACCAACCCGAUGCAAACUGCGAAUACCGGAGAAUGUUAUCACGGGAGACACACGGCGGGUGCUAACGUCCGUCGUGAAGAGGGAAACAACCCAGACCGCCAGCUAAGGUCCCAAAGUCAUGGUUAAGUGGGAAACGAUGUGGGAAGGCCCAGACAGCCAGGAUGUUGGCUUAGAAGCAGCCAUCAUUUAAAGAAAGCGUAAUAGCUCACUGGUCGAGUCGGCCUGCGCGGAAGAUGUAACGGGGCUAAACCAUGCACCGAAGCUGCGGCAGCGACACUAUGUGUUGUUGGGUAGGGGAGCGUUCUGUAAGCCUGUGAAGGUGGCCUGUGAGGGUUGCUGGAGGUAUCAGAAGUGCGAAUGCUGACAUAAGUAACGAUAAAGCGGGUGAAAAGCCCGCUCGCCGGAAGACCAAGGGUUCCUGUCCAACGUUAAUCGGGGCAGGGUGAGUCGACCCCUAAGGCGAGGCCGAAAGGCGUAGUCGAUGGGAAACAGGUUAAUAUUCCUGUACUUGGUGUUACUGCGAAGGGGGGACGGAGAAGGCUAUGUUGGCCGGGCGACGGUUGUCCCGGUUUAAGCGUGUAGGCUGGUUUUCCAGGCAAAUCCGGAAAAUCAAGGCUGAGGCGUGAUGACGAGGCACUACGGUGCUGAAGUAACAAAUGCCCUGCUUCCAGGAAAAGCCUCUAAGCAUCAGGUAACAUCAAAUCGUACCCCAAACCGACACAGGUGGUCAGGUAGAGAAUACCAAGGCGCUUGAGAGAACUCGGGUGAAGGAACUAGGCAAAAUGGUGCCGUAACUUCGGGAGAAGGCACGCUGAUAUGUAGGUGAAGCGACUUGCUCGUGGAGCUGAAAUCAGUCGAAGAUACCAGCUGGCUGCAACUGUUUAUUAAAAACACAGCACUGUGCAAACACGAAAGUGGACGUAUACGGUGUGACGCCUGCCCGGUGCCGGAAGGUUAAUUGAUGGGGUUAGCGGUAACGCGAAGCUCUUGAUCGAAGCCCCGGUAAACGGCGGCCGUAACUAUAACGGUCCUAAGGUAGCGAAAUUCCUUGUCGGGUAAGUUCCGACCUGCACGAAUGGCGUAAUGAUGGCCAGGCUGUCUCCACCCGAGACUCAGUGAAAUUGAACUCGCUGUGAAGAUGCAGUGUACCCGCGGCAAGACGGAAAGACCCCGUGAACCUUUACUAUAGCUUGACACUGAACAUUGAGCCUUGAUGUGUAGGAUAGGUGGGAGGCUUUGAAGUGUGGACGCCAGUCUGCAUGGAGCCGACCUUGAAAUACCACCCUUUAAUGUUUGAUGUUCUAACGUUGGCCCGUAAUCCGGGUUGCGGACAGUGUCUGGUGGGUAGUUUGACUGGGGCGGUCUCCUCCUAAAGAGUAACGGAGGAGCACGAAGGUUGGCUAAUCCUGGUCGGACAUCAGGAGGUUAGUGCAAUGGCAUAAGCCAGCUUGACUGCGAGCGUGACGGCGCGAGCAGGUGCGAAAGCAGGUCAUAGUGAUCCGGUGGUUCUGAAUGGAAGGGCCAUCGCUCAACGGAUAAAAGGUACUCCGGGGAUAACAGGCUGAUACCGCCCAAGAGUUCAUAUCGACGGCGGUGUUUGGCACCUCGAUGUCGGCUCAUCACAUCCUGGGGCUGAAGUAGGUCCCAAGGGUAUGGCUGUUCGCCAUUUAAAGUGGUACGCGAGCUGGGUUUAGAACGUCGUGAGACAGUUCGGUCCCUAUCUGCCGUGGGCGCUGGAGAACUGAGGGGGGCUGCUCCUAGUACGAGAGGACCGGAGUGGACGCAUCACUGGUGUUCGGGUUGUCAUGCCAAUGGCACUGCCCGGUAGCUAAAUGCGGAAGAGAUAAGUGCUGAAAGCAUCUAAGCACGAAACUUGCCCCGAGAUGAGUUCUCCCUGACUCCUUGAGGGUCCUGAAGGAACGUUGAAGACGACGACGUUGAUAGGCCGGGUGUGUAAGCGCAGCGAUGCGUUGAGCUAACCGGUACUAAUGAACCGUGAGGCUUAACCUUACAACGCCGAAG